UUCUGGCUCAGGAUGAACGCUAGCUACAGGCUUAACACAUGCAAGUCGAGGGGCAGCAUGAAGUCAGCUUGCUGACUUGAUGGCGACCGGCGCACGGGUGAGUAACGCGUAUCCAACCUGGCCCUUAGUAGGGGAUAGCCCGGCGAAAGUCGGAUUAAUACCCUAUGUUCUUCGUAGAAGACAUCUGAAAUGAAGCAAAGAUUUAUCGCUAAGGGAUGGGGAUGCGUCUGAUUAGGUAGUCGGCGGGGUAACGGCCCACCGAGCCAUCGAUCAGUAGGGGUUCUGAGAGGAAGGUCCCCCACAUUGGUACUGAGACACGGACCAAACUCCUACGGGAGGCAGCAGUGAGGAAUAUUGGUCAAUGGGCGCGAGCCUGAAACCCAGCCAAGUAGCGUGAGGGAAGACUGCCCUAUGGGUUGUAAACCUCUUUUGCCGGGGAAUAAAGUGACGUACGUGUACGUUUUUGUAUGUACCCGGAGAAUAAGGACCGGCUAAUUCCGUGCCAGCCGCCGC
rnacentral:rRNA from 1 species